GUACUGCUGAAGAGUCCCAAACUAGGAAGGAGGAUACAGCUGUCCAGUAC
rnacentral:hammerhead_ribozyme from 1 species